rnacentral:misc_RNA from 1 species
GAUGAAGAACGUAGCAAAAUGCGAUAAGUAAUGUGAAUUGCAGAAUUCAGUGAAUCAUCGAAUCUUUGAACGCACAUUGCGCCCGCCAGUAUUCUGGCGGGCAUGCCUGUUCGAGCGUCAUUUCAACCCUCAAGCACAGCUUGGUGUUGGGACUCGCGUUAAUUCGCGUUCCCCAAAUUGAUUGGCGGUCACGUCGAGCUUCAUAGCGUAGUAGUAAAACCCUCGUUACUGGUAAUCGUCGCGGCCACGCCGUUAAACCCCAACUUCUGAAUGUUGACCUCGGAUCAGGUAGGAAUACCCGCUGAACUUAAGCAUAUCAAUAAGCGGAGGA